ACAACUUGAUAUUGCAGUGUUAUUGACCUGGACCAGUAAUUAAUGUUGGGCACAAGAUAGUAGGUGUGCAAGGUGUGUUGGGUGAGGUAUUGUUUGCUCUUGGACAGCACCACUGUCCGUUUCUUCUGCGGAUGGAUCUAUUGUGCAGCAGAAGGGUCUAAAUGGAUAUGAGUGCUCAAUUAACAAAGAGAAGGGAGUUUAAAAGGUGGGGCAGGCUUAGGAAUGAGACACUGCAGAGCUUUAAUUGCUUCUCUGUAGUAAGUAAGUGGAGGGCAGCACUGCCCUCCAAUAGAUAGUUGCAUGGGGGCUUCUGUACAGUCAGCUGCUACAGAAGCUUCAUACAUCCCAAACAGCACAUUUUCUAACACCCUAUAAACAAUGGGGCUAUGAAGAACCACUUUUUCUACAGAGGAAUUUGAUGCAAUAGCAUCAUCAUUUUGUGGUGUCAUCUGCCCCAGGUAGUUAUUGCAUAAGGGGACAAAUCUGAACUGUAAUUUCAACGUAGUCAAAGGUUUGAAAAUGCCAUGGCUACUUACAUUUCCAAUAUGCCAUUUUCUCACUAAUGUCUUAGAUGGAAAAAGGCACUCACUAUUGAAAGAGCAGCUGUGAGGGUGUACUGAAUAAGUAAGAUGCAUUAGUAGUAAUUCUGCUGUGAUUCUUCCGGUGUCUCAGCUAUGCUCAUGCCUGCGUGUAUUAGGGAUGUUCUACUCACUUUGGUGCUAUCAUGAACCACACCAUAGGAGCAGCAAAACAGAGCUGGGGAUGAAUAGCUUUUUCUUCCUUCACCGUAUUUUUGGCACAUAUUAUUCUCAUUUGACUGAAGCUUGGGUGCAAGUAUCUUCUCAUUCUCCCUAAGCUGUACUGCAGCUCUUUCUGAGCUUUAACUGUCCAGCACUGUCCACUGCUGGAAAAGGCAUGUGCAAGGAAACCAGUAUCUGCACAACCCCAACAGACCUGCGACUGCACCCCUUUGGCCAGGACGGUAGCAUCCCCUAGACACAGCUCACAUCACAUAGGAAAAAUUCACAGUACUUAGUUUUACAAUCACGGUCACUCACAGCACCAAGAUUGUCCAGACAAAAAGGAAUUACUGAAGAGAAGGCCACUGGCCAAAAUUCACACAAGUGCCCACCUGAGGUCUCAGGUUAAAAAUAAAGCACUGGUGGGAAAG
ensembl:lncRNA